UUGAAACACCGUCUCUCAUAUGAUCACCGAAGUUAAGCAACGUCGAGCCUGAUCUGUACCUAGAGGGGUGACCGCUUGGAAACAACAUGUGCUGUAA